rnacentral:rRNA from 1 species
UCAAAAACAUAGCCUUUAGCUUUACAAGUAUUAAAGGUACCGCCUGCCCAGUGACUCUUUUAACGGCCGCGGUAUCCUAACCGUGCAAAGGUAGCAUAAUCACUUGUCCCCUAAAUAGGGACUAGAAUGAAUGGCUAAAUGAGGACUAAACUGUCUCUUGCAGGCUGGCCAAUGAAAUUGAUUUUCCAGUACAAAAGCUGGAAUAAAAACAUAAGACGAGAAGACCCUGUGGAGCUUCAAAACCGAACUCAUUAAACAUGUUUCUUCGGAUUUUUAGUUGGGGCGACUUCGGAGAACAAAAAAACCUCCAAAACAUGACCUACCCACUUUGUCAAGAUCAACAUACCAAAACAACUACAUGAGACCCAGCAACUACCCUAAUGUUAUCUGACCAAUGAACCAAGUUACCCCAGGGAUAACAGCGCCAUCCCCUUCUAGAGUCCCUAUCGACAAGGGGGUUUACGACCUCGAUGUUGGAUCAGGACAUCCCAAUGGUGCAGCCGCCAUUAAAGGUUCGUUUGUUCAACGAUUAAAGUCCUACGUGAUCUGA